rfam:Beta vulgaris subsp. vulgaris chromosome 5, whole genome shotgun sequence.
GUGUUGAUACAAAGGAGAGAUAGAUGGUUGGCAUCUCCCUUGACAGGGAUGGAAUAGCUUU